GCCCGGCUGGCGGAAUGGUAGACGCGGUUGACUCAAAAUCAACUGACCACACGGUCGUAGGGGUUCAAGUCCCCUGCCGGGUACGA
rnacentral:tRNA from 1 species